GACGAACGCUGGCGGCGUGCUUAACACAUGCAAGUCGAACGGAAAGGCCCUGCUUUUGUGGGGUGCUCGAGUGGUGAACGGGUGAGUAACACGUGAGGAACCUGCCCUUGACUUUGGGAUAACUUUAGGAAACUGGGGCUAAUACCGGAUAGGAGCUCCUGCUGCAUGGUGGGGGUUGGAAAGUUUCGGCGGUUGGGGAUGGACUCGCGGCUUAUCAGCUUGUUGGUGGGGUAGUGGCUUACCAAGGCUUUGACGGGUAGCCGGCCUGAGAGGGUGACCGGCCACAUUGGGACUGAGAUGCGGCCCAGACUCCUACGGGAGGCAGCAGUGGGGAAUAUUGCACAAUGGGCGGAAGCCUGAUGCAGCAACGCCGCGUGCGGGAUGACGGCCUUCGGGUUGUAAACCGCUUUCGCCUGUGACGAAGCGUGAGUGACGGUAAUGGGUAAAGAAGCACCGGCUAACUACGUG
rnacentral:rRNA from 1 species